rnacentral:rRNA from 1 species
CGCGGCCUAUCAGCUUGUUGGUGGGGUAGUGGCCUACCAAGGCGGCGACGGGUAGCCGGCCUGAGAGGGUGACCGGCCACAUUGGGACUGAGAUACGGCCCAGACUCCUACGGGAGGCAGCAGUGGGGAAUAUUGCACAAUGGGCGCAAGCCUGAUGCAGCAACGCCGCGUGCGGGAUGACGGCCUUCGGGUUGUAAACCGCUUUCAGCAGGGACGAAGCUUUUUGUGACGGUACCUGCAGAAGAAGCACCGGCUAACUACGUGCCAGCAGCCGCGGUGAUACGUAGGGUGCGAGCGUUGUCCGGAUUUAUUGGGCGUAAAGGGCUCGUAGGCGGUUGAUCGCGUCGGAAGUGGAAACUUGAUGCUUAACGUUGAGCGUGCUUUCGAUACGGGUUGACUUGAGGAAGGUAGGGGAGAAUGGAAUUCCUGGUGGAGCGGUGGAAUGCGCAGAUAUCAGGAGGAACACCAGUGGCGAAGGCGGUUCUCUGGACCUUUCCUGACGCUGAGGAGCGAAAGCGUGGGGAGCGAACAGGCUUAGAUACCCUGGUAGUCCACGCUGUAAACGGUGGGUACUAGGUGUGGGGUCCAUUCCACGGGUUCCGUGCCGUAGCUAACGCUUUAAGUACCCCGCCUGGGGAGUACGG